rnacentral:rRNA from 1 species
GGUUAAGCGACUAAGCGUACACGGUGGAUGCCCUGGCAGUCAGAGGCGAUGAAGGGCGUGCUAAUCUGCGAUAAGCGCCGGUAAGGUGAUAUGAACCGUUAUAACCGGCGAUACCCGAAUGGGGAAACCCAGUGUGAUUCGUCACACUAUCAUUAACUGAAUCCAUAGGUUAAUGAGGCGAACCGGGGGAACUGAAACAUCUAAGUACCCCGAGGAAAAGAAAUCAACCGAGAUUCCCCCAGUAGCGGCGAGCGAACGGGGAGGAGCCCAGAGCCUGAAUCAGCAUGUGUGUUAGUGGAAGCGUCUGGAAAGGCGCGCGAUACAGGGUGACAGCCCCGUACACAAAAGCGCAUGUGCUGUGAGCUCGAUGAGUAGGGCGGGACACGUGGUAUCCUGUCUGAAUAUGGGGGGACCAUCCUCCAAGGCUAAAUACUCCUGACUGACCGAUAGUGAACCAGUACCGUGAGGGAAAGGCGAAAAGAACCCCGGCGAGGGGAGUGAAAAAGAACCUGAAACCGUGUACGUACAAGCAGUGGGAGCCCCACCACUAAGCCAGUGGUGAACUCCACAUCCGCAUCCUUUGCUGAGGAUACGGUUAACGGAGCGAAAGCGACGUUCAACCGCAAAACAAGCAGAGGGGGCUUAGUGGUGGGGUGACUGCGUACCUUUUGUAUAAUGGGUCAGCGACUUAUAUUCUGUAGCAAGGUUAACCGAAUAGGGGAGCCGGAGGGAAACCGAGUCUUAAUUGGGCGUUAAGUUGCAGGGUAUAGACCCGAAACCCGGUGAUCUAGCCAUGGGCAGGUUGAAGGUUGGGUAACACUAACUGGAGGACCGAACCGACUAAUGUUGAAAAAUUAGCGGAUGACCUGUGGCUGGGGGUGAAAGGCCAAUCAAACCGGGAGAUAGCUGGUUCUCCCCGAAAGCUAUUUAGGUAGCGCCUCGUGAAUUCAUCUCCGGGGGUAGAGCACUGUUUCGGCUAGGGGGCCAUCCCGGCUUACCAACCCGAUGCAAACUGCGAAUACCGGAGAAUGUUAUCACGGGAGACACACGGCGGGUGCUAACGUCCGUCGUGAAGAGGGAAACAACCCAGACCGCCAGCUAAGGUCCCAAAGUCAUGGUUAAGUGGGAAACGAUGUGGGAAGGCCCAGACAGCCAGGAUGUUGGCUUAGAAGCAGCCAUCAUUUAAAGAAAGCGUAAUAGCUCACUGGUCGAGUCGGCCUGCGCGGAAGAUGUAACGGGGCUAAACCAUGCACCGAAGCUGCGGCAGCGAACGUAUCACUUAAAGCGAUUCAGCGGGUUACGAUUGACGGAGCGAAGCGACGUCAAAGCGUAUACAAAGUCGAGUCGGUUUAAGGAUACGUUCGUUGGGUAGGGGAGCGUUCUGUAAGCCCGUGAAGGUGGCCUGUGAGGGUUGCUGGAGGUAUCAGAAGUGCGAAUGCUGACAUAAGUAACGAUAAAGCGGGUGAAAAGCCCGCUCGCCGGAAGACCAAGGGUUCCUGUCCAACGUUAAUCGGGGCAGGGUGAGUCGACCCCUAAGGCGAGGCCGAAAGGCGUAGUCGAUGGGAAACGGGUUAAUAUUCCCGUACUUGGUGUUACUGCGAAGGGGGGACGGAGAAGGCUAUGUUGGCCGGGCGACGGUUGUCCCGGUUUAAGCGUGUAGGUGUGUGUUCCAGGUAAAUCCGGUUCACUUUAACACUGAGGCGUGAUGACGAGGCACUACGGUGCUGAAGCAACAAAUGCCCUGCUUCCAGGAAAAGCCUCUAAGCAUCAGGUAACAUCAAAUCGUACCCCAAACCGACACAGGUGGUCAGGUAGAGAAUACCAAGGCGCUUGAGAGAACUCGGGUGAAGGAACUAGGCAAAAUGGUGCCGUAACUUCGGGAGAAGGCACGCUGACACGUAGGUGAAGUGAUUUACUCACGGAGCUGAAGUCAGUCGAAGAUACCAGCUGGCUGCAACUGUUUAUUAAAAACACAGCACUGUGCAAACACGAAAGUGGACGUAUACGGUGUGACGCCUGCCCGGUGCCGGAAGGUUAAUUGAUGGGGUCAGCGCAAGCGAAGCUCCUGAUCGAAGCCCCGGUAAACGGCGGCCGUAACUAUAACGGUCCUAAGGUAGCGAAAUUCCUUGUCGGGUAAGUUCCGACCUGCACGAAUGGCGUAAUGAUGGCUAGGCUGUCUCCACCCGAGACUCAGUGAAAUUGAACUCGCUGUGAAGAUGCAGUGUACCCGCGGCAAGACGGAAAGACCCCGUGAACCUUUACUAUAGCUUGACACUGAACAUUGAGCCUUGAUGUGUAGGAUAGGUGGGAGGCUUUGAAGUGUGGACGCCAGUCUGCAUGGAGCCGACCUUGAAAUACCACCCUUUAAUGUUUGAUGUUCUAACGUGGACCCGUAAUCCGGGUUGCGGACAGUGUCUGGUGGGUAGUUUGACUGGGGCGGUCUCCUCCUAAAGAGUAACGGAGGAGCACGAAGGUUGGCUAAUCCUGGUCGGACAUCAGGAGGUUAGUGCAAUGGCAUAAGCCAGCUUGACUGCGAGCGUGACGGCGCGAGCAGGUGCGAAAGCAGGUCAUAGUGAUCCGGUGGUUCUGAAUGGAAGGGCCAUCGCUCAACGGAUAAAAGGUACUCCGGGGAUAACAGGCUGAUACCGCCCAAGAGUUCAUAUCGACGGCGGUGUUUGGCACCUCGAUGUCGGCUCAUCACAUCCUGGGGCUGAAGUAGGUCCCAAGGGUAUGGCUGUUCGCCAUUUAAAGUGGUACGCGAGCUGGGUUUAGAACGUCGUGAGACAGUUCGGUCCCUAUCUGCCGUGGGCGCUGGAGAACUGAGGGGGGCUGCUCCUAGUACGAGAGGACCGGAGUGGACGCAUCACUGGUGUUCGGGUUGUCAUGCCAAUGGCACUGCCCGGUAGCUAAAUGCGGAAGAGAUAAGUGCUGAAAGCAUCUAAGCACGAAACUUGCCCCGAGAUGAGUUCUCCCUGAGACUUAGAGUCUCCUGAAGGAACGUUGAAGACGACGACGUUGAUAGGCCGGGUGUGUAAGCGCAGCGAUGCGUUGAGCUAACCGGUACUAAUGAACCGUGAGGCUUAACCUU